UACGGAGGGGGCUAGCGUUGUUCGGAAUUACUGGGCGUAAAGCGCACGUAGGCGGCUUUGUAAGUUAGAGGUGAGAGCCCGGAGCUCAACUCCGGAAUUGCCUUUAAGACUGCAUCGCUCGAAUCAUGGAGAGGUGAGUGGAAUUCCGAGUGUAGAGGUGAAAUUCGUAGAUAUUCGGAAGAACACCAGUGGCGAAGGCGACUCACUGGACAUGUAUUGACGCUGAGGUGCGAAAGCGUGGGGAGCAAACAGG
rnacentral:rRNA from 1 species